rnacentral:lncRNA from 1 species
GCUCCUGGCCUGUUCAGUCCAGGGUCUUGGGGAUAAAUGCUGACCAACAAAAUAGGAAAAGUAAAGCUAUUUAUUCUGAGCGUGCAGUAGCAAGCUGUCACUUGCUACAAAAUUCACAGUCACUUGAAUUUCGGCAGAGAUCCAAAGGUGGUUCAAGGAGUGAGAAGGAUUUCUGGUGGAAAAGGGAGGCCUCAGGUGUGCCCUGAUUAGAGGCUGUGGGCCUGGAAGACCCAGGCAUGCUACCAGAAAGGGAGGCAUCCCUGUGUGAUUAUCAAGGGUGUGUCUUCUGCUUUCUCUGCUUGCUCCUAAAUUGCAAGGGAGGAUACAAAUUAGGGAAACUGUCAGUUAUUAAUCAAGUUCUGGUCAUUUGGGGCUGAUUGUUUUAUAGAGUUUAUUGCUUUGCUUCCUCAACUCUCACUGGCAAUCUGGCCUCUUUCUAGUCUGACUUCCUCUGUAUUUUAUUUAUUUAGUUAGUUAGUUUUGGGCUGUACUGGGGAUUGAACCCUGUGCCUCACCCAUGCUAUGCAAGUGCUCUAUCCCUGAGUUAUGUCCACAUCCCUUUUGAGACAGGGUCUCACUAAAUUGCCUGGACUGGCCUUGAACUCCUGGGAUCAAGUGAUCCUCCUGCAUAGCUGAGACUACAGGCACACACCACCACAACUGGGUGAGGGUUCUAUUUUUAUUUAUUAUUAUAAAUUUUCAGUAUGGGGAACCCAGAGCCUUGUAUAUGCUAAGCAUAUAUUCUCACCACUGAGCCACAUCCCCAGCCCCAAGAGUUCUAAUUUUUUUUUUAAUUGUUGAUAGAUCUUUAUUUUAUUUAUUUGUUUAUAUGUGGUGCUGAGGAUCGAACCCAGUGCCUCACACAUGCCAGGCAAGUAC